CUCACUGCUCAGUCUUGUGAGAAAUUGUCAUCAGUUUUAUCAUCAAACUCUGUCCUGAGAGAGCUGGACCUGAGUAACAAUGACCUGCAGGAUUCAGGAGUGAAGCUUCUUUCUGAAGGUCUGAAGAGUUCAAACUGUCAGCUGGAGAUACUGAGAUUUUCCAUCUGUAAUCUCACUGCUCAGUCUUGUGAGAGUUUGUCAUCAGUUUUAUCAUCAAACUCUGUCCUGAGAGAGUUGGAUCUGAGUAACAAUGACCUGCAGGAUUCAGGAGUGAAGCUUCUUUCUGAAGGUCUGAAGAGUUCAAACUGUCAGCUGGAGAUACUGAGAUUUUCCACAUGUAAUCUCACUGAUCAGUCUUGUGGGAGUUUGUCAUCCGUUUUACAAUCCUCAAACUCUGUCCUGAGA